rnacentral:rRNA from 1 species
AAACCAGCACCUCAAGUGGUCAGGAGGAUUAUUGGGCCUAAAGCAUCCGUAGCCUGCUCUGUAAGUUUUCGGUUAAAUCUGUACGCUCAACGUACAGGCUGCCGGGAAUACUGCAGAGCUAGGGAGUGGGAGAGGUAGACGGUACUCGGGAGGAAGUGGUAAAAUGCUUUGAUCUCUCGAUGACCACCUGUGGCGAAGGCGGUCUACCAGAACACGUCCGACGGUGAGGGAUGAAAGCUGGGGGAGCAAACCGGAUUAGAAACCCGAGUAGUCC